GGACGAAGGUGAGGAUGCAGUGAGAAUGAGGGCUACGGUGAGAGAGUCCUGGAUUCAAACCCUCAGCCUGUCAUCCGUGCUGGGCAGAGGAGAUGUACUCAUGCCCUCCUUUAUUCAUUCAUUACGCAAAUAUUUACAGACUACCUCCUUUGUGCCAGGCACUGUCCUAAGUGCUGGGGGUAACGUGAUGAAAAAACAAAGGAAUGUGGUUUGUGUUCUCGUGGUGCUCAGUUGAUCAAAUCAAUGCUGAAACAAGCCUGUGGGGAGAGGAAGGAGGCAGGGUUCUGCUGUGAAGGAGAAGGUUGAGGAGGAAGCAGAGAAGGUGCUGCACUAUUUCAGAAAGCAGCCACAGGCCCUGUCUGGGGCAUCCUCAGAUGUCAGCAUCUCAAGGCAGCACAGUCAAGGCAACAGACAAGAAGGCAGUGAGUUUGCCAAGCCUGGAGGGGGGUGGCUCAGGAGCACUGCAGACUCACUCUGCAGGGUGGCUGCCUCAGUGUUCCCAUCUGAAAAAGGGGAACAGGUAAGACGGCUCAGAUUAUUUCAGAGGUGCUUCUAGCAGUGACCUCCUGCCAAGCUGGCUUUUGGAAGAUGUGUUAAGUCUGCGGUUUCACAGGACACGUCGCCACUUUCUCCUCGGAAGGCAGAGAGAGCCUCAGCAUCAGAGGAGGGACACUGUGUAGCGGCCAUAUCCAAAGAUCUUGCAGAUCCUGGAGCUGAUGUUGAAGAAGGACCUGGAAGGAAGGCUCCAGGUAGAAGGCAGGUGGCGGGGCUCCAGAGACAAAGGAGGGUCAAUAAGAAGAUGGUCAUCACAGCGGUCUACACAGCAAGCAGCAGAAACAACCGGCAUGGCCAAGCAUGGUGACUCACACCUGUAAUCCGAACACUUUGGGAGGCCGAGGUAUGGUGGCAUGUGUCUGUAGUCCCAGCUACUCAGGAGGCUGAGGCAGGAGAAUUGAAGGAGGCGGAGGUUGCAGUGAGCCGAGAUCAUGCUACUGCACUACAGCCUGGGCAACAGAGUGAGACUUCAUCUCAAAAAAAAAAAAGGUCCACCUGGUGCCCCUGGCUUCAUCACCAAUGGGCUUACCAUGGCCACACGGGUCCUCUUUCAGGCCCUUGUGUCACUCUCUCCCAUGCUGACCAGCUCUGGCCACAAAGCUGCCUCUUCCAUCACUGGGAGCUCUUCCCCACCUCGGAGCUGUUCCCGUCACCUGGAUUGUCUUCCCUCCACAUUCCUGCCACCUCCUUCUGCUCAGCCUAAAGGUCACUUUCUCACAGAAGCUGUCCCUGAGCCUCAAUCUAAAUUGCAUCCCCACAAGGACACAAAGAUGUGAGCAAUAAACACUAAGGAUUCCAGAAGGGGGGAUGGAGGAGAGCAAAAGUUGAAAAACUACCUGUUGGGUACUAUAUUCACUGCUUGGGCGACGGGAUCGUUGGAAGCCCAAACCUCAGCAUCAUGCAAUACACCCGUGCAACAAACCUGCACACGUACUUUCUGAAUCUAAAAGAAUUUCUAAAAUAAAAUAAAUUGUACCCCCUUAGUUCUUUCUGAGCACCCUCUUUUUAUCUUCAUAACACCAUCAUUUGUAUUUAUGGAAUGAUUAUGCAUCAUUAUUUGGUAAAUGACCUCACCAGCUAGACUCUAAAUCAAAAAGGGCUGGGGCUGUAUCUGACAUAUUCUCAGUUGUAUCAGCAGCACCUAGCACGGCAUCUAACAUAAAUGAUACUUAUUUGUGGUUUGGCUUAAUACAAAAAAAAAAAAAAAAACUUUGGGAGGGGAGGGAAUUCAAUCAACAGACAAAAAAUAAUGCUAUGUAGGGGAAAGAGAAACAAAAUGUUCACAGGUAUUGUAUUAGUGUUGUAAGAACAUGGGCGUUCUUUUUCUUUCUUUAAUAUCACCUAUUUAAUCUCUUAUGUUCUUUUUAUGAUUAAGAAAAUAAAAAACCUUACAAAUAUUUUUG
rnacentral:lncRNA from 1 species